rnacentral:rRNA from 2 species
GAAAAUAACAAUGAUUUCCCUAGUAACGGCGAGUGAAGAGGAAAGAGCUCAAAGUUGGAAACUGUUUGGCUUAGCUAAACCGUAUUGUAAACUGUAGAAACAUUUUCCUGGCACGCCGGAUUAAUAAGUCCUUUGGAACAAGGCAUCAUGGAGGGUGAGAAUCCCGUCUUUGAUCCGAGUAGUUGUCUUUUGUGAUAUGUUUUCAAAGAGUCAGGUUGUUUGGGAAUGCAGCCUAAAUUGGGUGGUAAAUCUCACCUAAAGCUAAAUAUUUGCGAGAGACCGAUAGCGAACAAGUACCGUGAGGGAAAGAUGAAAAGAACUUUGAAAAGAGAGUUAAACAGUAUGUGAAAUUGUUAAAAGGGAACCGUUUGGAGCCAGACUGGUUUGACUGUAAUCAACCUAGAAUUCGUUCUGGGUGCACUUGCAGUCUAUACCUGCCAACAACAGUUUGAUUUGGAGGAAAAAAUUAGUAGGAAUGUAGCCUCUCGAGGUGUUAUAGCCUACUAUCAUACUCUGGAUUGGACUGAGGAACGCAGCGAAUGCCUUUAGGCAAGAUUGCUGGGUGCUUUCGCUAAUAAAUGUUAGAAUUUCUGCUUCGGGUGGUGCUAAUGUUUAAAGGAGGAACACAUCUAGUAUAUUUUUUCG